CCUACGUGAGGCAGCAGUGGGGAAUAUUGGGCAAUGGGCGCAAGCCUGACCCAGCAACGCCGCGUGAAGGAAGAAGGCUCUCGGGUUGUAACCUUCUUUUAUCAGGGACGAAGCAAGUGACGGUACCUGAUGAAUAAGCCACGGCUAACUACGUGCCAGCAGCCGCGGUAAUACGUAGGUGGCAAGCGUUAUCCGGAGUUACUGGGUGUAAAGGGCGUGUAGGCGGGAAAGCAAGUCAGAUGUGAAAACCAUGGGCUCAAACUGUGGCCUGCAUUUGACACUGUUUUUCUUGAGUACUGGAGAGGCAGACGGAAUUCCUAGUGUAGCGGUGAAAUGCGUAGAUAUUAGGAGGAACACCAGUGGCGAAGGCGGUCUGCUGGACAGCAACUGACGCUGAGGCGCGAAAGCGUGGGGAGCAAACAGGAUUAGAUACCCGUGUAGUC
rnacentral:rRNA from 1 species